AUGAAGGUUGUGGGAGAGACCCGUAAUCGGGCGCCGAAGGAGCAAGGGCAACCGAAACUCUCAGGCAAAAGGACCGCAACCGGACG
rnacentral:ncRNA from 2 species